rnacentral:rRNA from 1 species
GACGAACGCUGGCGGCGUGCUUAACACAUGCAAGUCGAACGGAAAGGCCCCUUUGGGGGUACUCGAGUGGCGCACGGGUGAGUAACACGUGAGUAACCUGCCCUUGACUUCGGGAUAACUUCAGGAAACUGGGGCUAAUACCGGAUAGGAAUCCUUGCUGCAUGGUGGGGGUUGGAAAGCUUCGGCGGUUUUGGAUGGACUCGCGGCGUAUCAGCUUGUUGGUGGGGUAGUGGCUUACCAAGGCUUUGACGGGUAGCCGGCCUGAGAGGGCGACCGGCCACAUUGGGACUGAGGGACGGCCCAGACUCCUACGGGAGGCAGCAGUGGGGAAUAUUGCACAAUGGGCGGAAGCCUGAUGCAGCAACGCCGCGGGCGGGAUGACGGCCUUCGGGUUGUAAACCGCUUUCAGCAGGGGCGAAGCUUGUGGUGACGGUACCUGCAGAAGAAGCACCGGCUAACUACGUG